AUUGAACGCUGGCGGCGUGCUUAACACAUGCAAGUCGAUCGGUAACGCGGGGGCAACCCUGGCGACGAGAGGCGGACGGGUGAGGAACGCUUGGGAAUCUGCCUAUCAGCGGGGGACAACCCGGGGAAACUCGAGCUAAUACCGCAUACGCUCUACGGAGGAAAGCCGGGGACCGCAAGGCCUGGCACUGAUAGAUGAGCCCAAGCCGGAUUAGCUAGUUGGCGGGGUAACGGCCCACCAAGGCGACGAUCCGUAGCUGGGCUGAGAGGACGAUCAGCCACACCGGAACUGGGACACGGUCCGGACUCCUACGGGAGGCAGCAGUGGGGAAUAUUGGACAAUGGGCGGAAGCCUGGUCCAGCGACGCCGCGUGGGUGAAGAAGGCCUGCGGGUUGUAAAGCACUUUAAGCGAGGAGGAGGCUCUUUUGGUUAAUACCCAAGAUGAGUGGACGUUACUCGCAGAAUAAGCACCGGCUAACUCUGUGCCAGCCGCCGCAGUAA
rnacentral:rRNA from 1 species